rnacentral:tRNA from 1 species
UGUCCAGGGAUGGGAAUCGAACCCACAAUGUUCCGCUUACCGGGCAGAUGCCAUGUCCACUAAGCUACCAUGGAC